UCUCCGAGGUCAACACCCGCUACUCCUCUCUCUCUCUCUCUCCGAGGUUCCCUUGCAGCUCUAUGUCCUCUUCUCUCUGUUGUCCCGUCUUAUCUACCCUCUCGUGUUCGUCCUCGAUUCGCCCCCAGCGAACCCUAACCCUACAUCGGUUUCUACCGUCGUUCUGCUCCGACAUUGGCGCUCUCGGAGUGGGGAUGGUGAAUUAGGGCUCGGGUCGAGCUAGAGCGAGGCCGGUCAUGGCUGCAGAACUCUGAUGUUUUGAAACACUGUGGUCGGGGUUGGGGUUAGGGUUAGGGUUUUGUAUAUGUCUGUUGCUGAGCUGAAGGAGCGGCACAUCGCCGCGAAGGCGACAGUGAACGGUCUGCGCGAGCGGCUGAAACAGAGGCGGCAGGCGCUUCUCGACACCGAUGUUGUUGGGUAUGCUAAGAGCCAUGGGAAAACAGCGAUUAGCCUUGGUUCCACGGAUCUGGUUUGCUGUAGGACCAUGCAGGGUCAUACAGGGAAAGUGUAUGUUAGAAUUGCUGAACUGGAGAAGCCUGAUGUGAUGAGAAAAUACAGGGGAAAGGAUGUUUCGAAUGAUUGUUUGUCACACAAUGCUCAUAAAAAAAAAUGUGUGAAACUUAGCUGGUUUGCUGCGAAGGUCUAUUCACUGGAUUGGGCUCCUGAAAGGAAUCGGAUAGUUAGUGCUUCCCAAGAUGGGAGAUUAAUUGUGUGGAAUGCGUUAACGAGCCAAAAAACACAUGCUAUAAAGCUUCACUGUGCAUGGGUCAUGACAUGUGCCUUUGCCCCCUACAGUCAGUCUGUUGCAUGUGGUGGUCUUGAUAGUGCAUGCUCUAUUUUCAAUCUCAAUUCUCAAGUUGAUAGAGAUGGAAAUAUACCAAUAUCAAGAAUACUUACUGGGCACAAGGGCUAUGUAUCGUCUUGUCAGUAUGUCCCAGAUCAGGAAUCUCGACUAAUUACUAGCUCAGGGGAUCAGACAUGUGUUUUAUGGGAUGUUAGUACUGGUCAGAGGAUCUCUGUCUUUGGAGGUGAAUUUCCAUCAGGACACACAGCUGAUGUAUUGAGUGUCUCAGUCAACUCUUCAAAUUCAAAUAUGUUUGUCUCUGGUUCGUGCGAUGCUACUGCUCGAUUGUGGGAUACUCGAAAAGCUAGUCCAGCAGUUCGAACUUAUCAUGGUCAUGAGGGGGAUGUUAAUGCUGUCAAAUUUUUUCCUGAUGGACAAAGACUUGGGACUGGCUCUGAUGAUGGCACGUGCCGAUUAUUUGACAUGGGGACAGGACAUCAACUUCAGGUUUAUAGUCAGCAGCAUGACAGUAAUGAUAAUGAUGUCCCCAUUGUCACAUCCAUUGCCUUCUCAAUAUCGGGUAGACUCCUUUUUGCUGGAUACUCCAAUGGGGAUUGUUAUGUGUGGGACACACUGGUAGCUGAGCUGAAAUUGUUGUAGGACAAGGAUUGCAAUCUUAGAAGUGGGGUAGGAAGAAAAGGUGGUUAACCCUGAAAAUGUAAUUGGUAUGCUUAUCAGACAGCUGUCCACAGAAAGCAUAAAAUUUUGAAGAAACAGAGGAUCAUUUUAUUUUUGUGGUGGAUGGAGAUGCAUUUUGUCAUCACUGUUAAUGGUCUUGCUCGCAUGAGAGCAAUUGAUUUACCGGUCUGGGUUAUUCGAUGAGAUAUUCAGGGUGGGGGAUGAUAGAAGUCACUAUAUUUUCUAAAAGAAGGCCCUUGGUUUUAAGAGAAUUUGGAGGUAGUCUUGAAUUUGGGAACUCUGCAAAACUCUCAUGAGGGCCGUAUAAGCUGCCUAGGUUUGUCAUCUGAUGGGAGUGCCUUAUGCACAGGAAGCUGGGACAAAAGCCUAAAGAUUUGGGCCUUUGGAGGACACAGGAGGGUGAUCCAUUCGUUGCAUUGAUAGCACUUGUUGUGGAAUAUCAGUUUGGUGCCCAACUCGGACCAUUGUUGUGCAAAUACCAGCUAGCUCUUGUAUAGUGGAUUCUGUGGUGUCUUGCUCCUUAAAGCUACAAGUCCUGCUCCCAUGAAGCUCAAGCAUCUUGAGAUAUCAAUGUUAGCUGGGGGCACUUGCGUGAGGCAGAGACAAGGUUGCAGAAAAACUAUCAGGACUGCCGUGCAACAUUUCAAUGAUUUGUUGUCAUCUGUAUUAUUAGAUCCCCGUAACUCCUUUUUCUUCAUAUUUUUUGCGAAAAGUAAUGUCUUCUGUUGGUAUGUUUAGCCUAUAGAACGUUAUUGUAUCUACUAUUCUGUAUGUACUCUGAUUGGUCUGUACAAGUUGAUCUGGAAUCUUGACUUUAAUAUUUCAUUUGUUAUUUGAACCUUGGAGAGGGUUUGAACUUCGCAGGGAAAUAAUAACCUAACAGAUACCAGUUAA